rnacentral:rRNA from 1 species
GCUAUGGCUAAAGGAUGAAAGGGGCUUCGGCCUCGCCGAGGGAUGAGUCUGCGUCUGAUUAGUUAGUUGGUGGGGUAAAGGCCUACCAAGGCGACGAUCAGUAGCCGGCCUGAGAGGGUGACCGGCCACAUUGGGACUGAGACACGGCCCAGACUCCUACGGGAGGCAGCAGCUAAGAAUCUUCCGCAAUGGGCGCAAGCCUGACGGAGCGACGCCGCGUGGGCGAAGAAGGCCGAGAGGUUGUAAAGCCCUUUUUUCAUAGAAGAAUAAGCCUAAGAGGUAAUGCUUGGGUGAUGACGUUAUAUGAGGAAUAAGCUCCGGCCAAUUACGUGCCAGCAGCCGCGGUAACACGUAAGGAGCGAGUGUUGUUCGGAAUUAUUGGGCGUAAAGGGCUCGUANGCGGCCUGCCAAGUCCCACGUGAAAGACCAGGGCUCAACCCUGGGGGCGCGAGGGGAAACUGGUAAGCUGGAAUCUUGGGA